rnacentral:lncRNA from 1 species
CAUUAUUAGAAAAUGUAGGCAAUUUCAUGCAUGUAUUUCAAAAAUUUUUGAAAUAAAAUACAGUGGAAGACAACUAGAUUAAUCAUAUUAAUCUAACAUGUAUAUGAUCUAAUCAUUAAAUUAACUUAUUCUAAAAUCUAUGACAUGAUACGUUGCAUAUAAAAUCUAAAAUAAUCACAUGAUAAAAUCUGCAUGCAUGGAUAUAAGCAGUAGAUCAAAUCUACCUCUAUCUGAGUUCAAAACUCGAUAUCUGAGUGAGGAUUGACUAUCAUCACUGCUAAGAGAUGUGAUAAAAAUGAUUCUUGCUAAUUAUUUACAGCCGCAUACAUAUCCGACCUCUAUGAAAAGUCCACUCGAAACUCUAAUCUGAUCGAUCUUCUCGAGAAUGCUAGUUCGCGCGAAGAUCUUCUCCUUGGUUGAUCUGUAUCUUUUUUUUCAAAUCUCUUGAAUCUUUCAGAGGUUGAAGAUGAUCUUUUGGAUGAGAUGAAGAGGUAAAAGAAAGAUAGAGAAAAAAAUAAUUUUUUUCUUAUUUUUUCUCUUUUCCCAAACCCUUAGGAAUAAAACCCUAGAAACCUAGUUUUUUGCGCACACCCAAAUAUAAAGGACUCUCC